AUAACGACUCUCGGCAACGGAUAUCUAGGCUCUAGCAUCGAUGAAGAACGUAGCAAAAUGCGAUACUUGGUGUGAAUUGCAGAAUCCCGUGAACCAUCGAGUUUUUGAACGCAAGUUGCGCCCGAAGCCAUUAGGCUGAGGGCACGUUUGCCUGGGCGUCAGG
rnacentral:rRNA from 1 species